UUUUUCUAGUAGAUCUGUCCUUGGUUACUUUUAUUACUUUUGAUGAAUGCCAGCAUUAACAUGAAGAAUGGAAGAUUUUUGAAUUAAGUAGUUUUUUUUUUUAAAGACAAUUUAACUCAAUAUAACCAGCCUUGACUAGUUUCUAAAGUAACUGCCUACCUGUGGUCUGUGGCCAGUAAUGGUAUGGCCACCUGCUAUGAUAAGGAGUCCACCUUUCUCUUUGAAGCUUUGCUUAUAAUGUUUGAGUUAGUGUCACUUUGAAUAAUUUCAAACCAUUGCCUGGUUUCCAUUCUUAUUUUAAAUUAAAUCAGUAUUUUUUUUAAUCAUAUAUCUGUGUUCAUGUAUUUGCUUAUAUAAGUUUGUGAGGAAAUGGGCAGGGUGUGGGUGUUGUCUUAUCUUUUAAUAAAGAAAAAAAGGAGAAAGAACUAAAGUUUUGAUAAUUAUAAUCCUAAAGUGUAUAUUAUAUUGGAUAUUUUAAUUAUAGCUCUUUGUGCUAUUUUUUUUUUCUAACAGAAAAUCUUCAAAUGACAAAAAAAGUCAGGAUUUUGGAAAUCUUUUUUCAUUUCCUUCAUAUUCUCAGAAGUCAGAAGAUGGUAUGUUCUGUUACUCUUUUCAUUAGUUAAUUAGUACAUUAUUGCUGUACUUGAUAUAGAGAAAAGUUGAAAAAUCAUAUGCCAGAAGUUAAUUGCAGAGUUUUUCAUUAGUGAAAGACUACACUUUGCCCAAUAUAAUAAGACGUACUUAUUGACUGGUUAGAAUAGGUAUUAUGGAAGCAUAUAGACAAAUGCUAAUUCAGUAGGUGUAGUGUCUACAUAUAUGACUUAUAAUGAGAAAAAU
rnacentral:lncRNA from 1 species